AGUGUGCCCUUUCCCUCCUGCCUUUUUAGUAGCUCCGGGUAAAUAUUGAUUUGCCCCCAGUUUACCUCCUCCCUGACUGACCAUUUGCAGACUAAAGAACCAGCCUCUGUAGGGACCUGAUUUUUGUGUUACUUUCCGGCCCGUUCGCCCCCCUUCCUUCCUCCAAGUGGCAUUGUAAAACUCAUGAUGACAAAGAGACAGGGUAGGGUUUGAGGCCCCAGUUCCUGAGGACUUAAGGGCUGUUUUACAUACAGGUCAGACACGGCUGGAGGCCAAGGUCAAGUUGAAAGUUGCAGUCUAGCCAUCUUGAGAACUGCCAUGCAAGCCUGGAGACCCAGGCAGCUCCUAAAGGCCCACUGCCCACCUACCCUCA
rfam:Tursiops truncatus cont1.187572, whole genome shotgun sequence.